CACGACUGAGCAACUGUACUGAGAGGGAAGCCACUCUCCUCUAUCUUGAAUCUCCUGUGCCCCGGGAGAGGGUACAGCCAGUUUUGCUCCAUCAGUGGUUGUCUAGCCUUAAGGAGCAGAUAGCAAUGUGUUCUUGGGCAGAAGAGACUGUUCUGCUAUGAUCUUGGAUAACCCUGUGAACAGCUAUAUGGCACCUGGGUACUUAUAAAGGCAACGUACCGCAUUUCACACUUACACAGCCCUUCCGAGUUCACAGCGCGGCACCCGGAUUCCUGCAGAACCUCCCCUGUUUGGGACGCACCAGCCUUGUUUCA